rnacentral:rRNA from 1 species
AAGCGUGUGAGCCAUGUGCCGAGAAAAGCUGCUAUUGUGUAAUGCGUGCCCGUACCGUAAACCGACACAGGUGGAUGAGGAGAGAAUCCUAAGGCCGGCGGAAGAAGCAUUGUUAAGGAAUUCGGCAAAAUGACCCCGUAACUUCGGGAGAAGGGGUGCCUGCGAGAGCAGGCCGCAGAGAAUAGGCUCAAGCAACUGUUUAGCAAAAACACAGGUCUAUGCGAAACCGAAAGGUGAAGUAUAUGGGCUGACGCCUGCCCGGUGCUGGAAGGUUAAGAGGAGAGGUUAGCGUAAGCGAAGCUUUGAAUUUAAGCCCCAGUAAACGGCGGCCGUAACUAUAACGGUCCUAAGGUAGCGAAAUUCCUUGUCGGGUAAGUUCCGACCCGCACGAAAGGCGUAAUGAUUUGAGCACUGUCUCGACAAUGCAUCCGGUGAAAUUGAAGUACCAGUGAAGAUGCUGGUUACCCGCGCCAGGACGGAAAGACCCCAUGGAGCUUUACUCCAGUUUGAUACUGGGAUUCGGUACUGCAUGUACAGGAUAGGUGGGAGACGAAGAAGGAUGGACGCCAGUCUGUCCGGAGUCGCUGUUGGGAUACCACCCCUGUAGUACUGGGUUUCUAACCAGUUGCCAUGAACUGGCAAUGGGACAAUGUCAGGCGGGGAGUUUGACUGGGGCGGUCGCCUCCGAAAGGGUAUCGGAGGCGCUCAAAGGUUCCCUCAGAAUGGUUGGAAACCAUUUGAAGAGUGCAAAGGCAGAAGGGAGCUUGACUGCGACACCGACGGGUGGAGCAGGUACGAAAGUAGGACUUAGUGAUCCGGUGGUAUAAAGUGGGAUUGCCAUCGCUCAACGGAUAAAAGCUACCCUGGGGAUAACAGGCUUAUCACUCCCAAGAGUUCACAUCGACGGAGUGGUUUGGCACCUCGAUGUCGGCUCAUCGCAUCCUGGGGCUGUAGCAGGUCCCAAGGGUUGGGCUGUUCGCCCAUUAAAGCGGUACGCGAGCUGGGUUCAGAACGUCGUGAGACAGUUCGGUCCCUAUCCGGCGCGGGCGGAGGAUAUUUGAGAGGAGCUGUCCUUAGUACGAGAGGACCGGGAUGGACGGACCACUGGUGUAUCUGUUGUCGACCAACGGCAUGGCAGAGUAGCCAAGUCUGGAAGGGAUAAACGCUGAAGGCAUCUAAGCGUGAAGCCCCCCUCAAGAUGAGAUAUCCCUCCUUCGGGAGUAAGACCCCUUGAAGACUACAAGGUAGAUAGGGCAGAGGUGGAAGCAUGGCAACAUGUGGAGCUGACUGUUACUAAUAGGUCGAGGGCUUAAUCUG